rnacentral:rRNA from 1 species
AAGUCGUAACAAGGUUUCCGUAGGUGAACCUGCGGAAGGAUCAUUAAUGAAUCGUAAGGACGCUCUUUUAGAGGUCCGACCCCUUCAUUUCCAUACACUGUGCACACACUUCUUUUUUACACAUUUUAACACUUCAGUAUAAGAAUGUAAACAGUCUCUUAAUUGAGCAUAAUAUAAAUAAAACUUUCAACAACGGAUCUCUUGGCUCUCGCAUCGAUGAAGAACGCAGCGAAAUGCGAUACGUAAUGUGAAUUGCAGAAUUCAGUGAAUCAUCGAAUCUUUGAACGCACCUUGCACUCUUUGGUAUUCCGAAGAGUAUGUCUGUUUGAGUGUCAUGAAACUCUCAACCCCCUUAUUUUGUAAUGAGAUAGGCGCGGGCUUGAAUUAUGGCUUUUGUCGGCGUAAAGUCGGCUUAGCUGAAAUACACGAGCAACCCUUUUGAAAUAGACGGUUUGACUCGGCGUAAUAAUUAUUUCGCUGAGGACGUCUUCUUCAAACGUUAGAGGUGCUUCUAAUGCGUAAUCAUACUUUAAGCUUUAGACCUCAAAUCAGUCAGGACUACCCGCUGAACUUA